rnacentral:rRNA from 1 species
AACGAACGCUGGCGGCAUGCCUAACACACGCAAGUCGAACGAGACCUUCGGGUCUAGUGGCGCACGGGUGCGUAACGCGUGGGAACCUGCCCUUAGGUUCGGAAUAACUCCCCGAAAGGGGUGCUAAUACCGGAUAAUGUCCUCGGACCAAAGAUUUAUCGCCUUUGGAUGGGCCCGCGUUGGUUUAGCUAGUUGGUAGGGUAAAAGCCUACCAAGGCGACGAUCCAUAGCUGGUCUGAGAGGAUGAUCAGCCACACUGGGACUGGGACACGGCCCAGACUCCUACGGGAGGCAGCAGUGGGGAAUAUUGGACAAUGGGCGAAAGCCUGAUCCAGCAAUGCCGCGUGAGUGAUGAAGGCCUUAGGGUUGUAAAGCUCUUUUACCCGGGAUGAUAAUGACAGUACCGGGAGAAUAAGCUCCGGCUAACUCCGUG